GUGAAUCAUCGAAUUUUUGAACGCAAAUUGCGCCUUCUUCGGAAGGCAUGCCUGUUUGAGGGCAACAUUUAAUAAAUAUUGUGCUGUGUCUUCUGUUGCACACGUUGAUGAGCUUUCCAUAAAUUUUAAAUUUUUGGCGGCGCAUAAUGAACAGUGUGAUAGUUUUUUUCAGUUCGAGUGUAGUAAAAUCUUUGCUUAGUUUGUGAAAAAACAUAAUCGCGUCAUGG
rnacentral:misc_RNA from 1 species